UGUCUGGGUCGAUUAGCCAUGCUAGUUGCACGAGUUCAUACUCGUGGCGAAAGCUCAGUAACACGUGGCCAAACUACCCUACAGAGAACGAUAACCUCGGGAAACUGAGGCUAAUAGUUCAUACGGGAGUCAUGCUGGAAUGCCGACUCCCCGAAACGCUCAGGCGCUGUAGGAUGUGGCUGCGGCCGAUUAGGUAGACGGUGGGGUAACGGCCCACCGUGCCGAUAAUCGGUACGGGUUGUGAGAGCAAGAGCCCGGAGACGGAAUCUGAGACAAGAUUCCGGGCCCUACGGGGCGCAGCAGGCGCGAAACCUUUACACUGCACGCAAGUGCGAUAAGGGGACCCCAAGUGCGAGGGCAUAUAGUCCUCGCUUUUCACGACUGUAAGGCGGUCGUGGAAUAAGAGCUGGGCAAGACCGGUGCCAGCCGCCGCGGUAAUACCGGCAGCUCAAGUGAUGACCGAUAUUAUUGGGCCUAAAGCGUCCGUAGCCGGCCACGAAGGUUCAUCGGGAAAUCCGCCAGCUCAACUGGCGGGCGUCCGGUGAAAACCACGUGGCUUGGGACCGGAAGGCUCGAGGGGUACGUCCGGGGUAGGAGUGAAAUCCCGUAAUCCUGGACGGACCACCGAUGGCGAAAGCACCUCGAGAAGACGGAUCCGACGGUGAGGGACGAAAGCUAGGGUCUCGAACCGGAUUAGAUACCCGGGUAGUCCUAGCUGUAAACGAUGCUCGCUAGGUGUGACACAGGCUACGAGCCUGUGUUGUGCCGUAGGGAAGCCGAGAAGCGAGCCGCCUGGGAAGUACGUCCGCAAGGAUGAAACUUAAAGGAAUUGGCGGGGGAGCACUACAACCGGGAGGAGCCUGCGGUUUAAUUGGACUCACGCCGGACAUCUCACCAGCUCCGACUACAGUGAUGACGAUCAGGU
rnacentral:rRNA from 1 species